rnacentral:rRNA from 1 species
CCUACGGGUGGCAGCAGUGAGAAAUAUUGGUCAAUGGACGCAAGUCUGAACCAGCCAUGCCGCGUGCAGGAAGACGGCUCUAUGAGUUGUAAACUGCUUUUGUACGAGGGUAAACGCAGAUACGCGUAUCUGUCUGCAAGUAUCUUACGAAUAAGGAUCGGCUAACUCCGUGCCAGCAGCCGCGGUAAUACGGAGGAUUCCAGCGUUAUCCGGAUUUAUUGGGUUUAAAGGGUGCGUAGGCGGUCGGAUAAGUUAGAGGUGAAAUCCCGAGGCUCAACUUCGGAAUUGCCUCUGAUACUGUUCGGCUAGAGAGUAGUUGCGGUAGGCGGAAUGUAUGGUGUAGCGGUGAAAUGCUUAGAGAUCAUACAGAACACCGAUUGCGAAGGCAGCUUACCAAGCUACGUCUGACGUUGAGGCACGAAAGCGUGGGGAGCAAACAGGAUUAGAUACCCCUGUAGUC